rnacentral:SRP_RNA from 1 species
GUGCUAUGUGGGGAGCUAGCGGUGCCCUGUAACUUGCAAUCCGCUACAGCAAGGCAGAACGCAUAUCGAGGUUGCAUAUGGUGGAGGCUGACUUUGGCAAGUGGCGUUGAUAUCGGGGUCUUGUGCAAUAAGACGCCGUGAACCGUGUCAGAGUUUGAUCGCAGCAGCACUAAGUGGAUGUUCUUGUGUGCCACAAGGAAGCUCCGAAGGAGCAAACUACCAUUGGAUCGCUCUGUUGUAUGUUUAUCGGAAUAUGUGCA